CUACUUUUAUGUAUUUAGUUGUAUCCCGAGUUUGGAAUACAACAGAGUUUUGAGUUGUUAGGUACGAUUCCAUAAAUCGAGUAUUGUGUAUUUCGUUUCAACUGGACUUUGAACUACAACAGAGUUAGUGCGUAGUUAUGAACGACUCCAUAAACCCACUUUUGUGUAUUUCGUUGUAUCCGGACUUUGGAAGUGAAACACAAUUAGUUCUUAUUUAUGUAAAAUUCCAUAAACCUUGUUCCUUGUAUUUCGUUGUAUCCGGACUUUGGAACUACAACAGAGUUAUUGAGUUGUUUGAAAUUUUCCAUAAACCUGGUUUUGUGUAUUUCGUUGUAUACGGACUUUGGAACUACAACAGUGUUAUUGGGUUGUUAUGAAGGAUUCCAAAAACCUAGUUUUGUGUAUUUCGAUAUAUCCGGACUUUAAACUACAAGAGAGUUAGUGGGUCGUUAUGAACGAUUCCAAAAACCUAGUUUUGUGUAUUUCGUUGUAUCCGGACUUUGAACUACAAGAGAUUUAGUGCGUCGUUAUAAAAGAUUCCAUACACCUAGUUUUGUAUAUUUCGUUGAAUCCGGACUUUGGAACUAAAACACGGUUAUUGCAUACAUAUGGAUUAGGGUUAGGGUUAGGGUUAGGGUUAGGGUUAGGGUUAGGGUUAGGGUUAGGGUUAGGGUUAGGGUUAGGGUUAGAGGGUUAGGGUUAGGGUUAGGGUUAGGGGUAGGGUUAGGGUUAGAGGGUUAGGGUUAGAGGGUUAGGGUUAGAGGGUUAGGGUUAGAGGGUUAGGGUUAGGGGGUUAGUGUUAGAGGGUUAGGGUUAGAGGGUUAGGGGUUUAGGGUUAGGGUUAGGGUUAGAGGGUUAGGGUUAGGGUUAGGGUUAGGGUUAGGGUUAGGGUUAGGGUUAGGGUUAGGGUUAGGGUUAGGGUUAGGGUUAGGGUUAGGGUUAGGUUAGGGUUAGGGUUAGGGUUAGGGUUAGGGUUAGGAUUAGGGUUAGGGUUAGGGUUAGAGGGUUAGGGUUAGGGUUAGA
rnacentral:lncRNA from 1 species